CAGCACCUCAAGUGGUCAGGAUGAUUAUUGGGCCUAAAGCAUCCGUAGCCGGCGCUGUAAGUUUUCGGUUAAAUCUGUACGCUCAACGUACAGGCUGCCGGGAAUACUGCAGCGCUAGGGAGUGGGAGAGGUAGACGGUACUCGGUAGGAAGGGGUAAAAUCCUUUGAUCUAUUGAUGACCACCUGUGGCGAAGGCGGUCUGCCAGAACACGUCCGACGGUGAGGGAUGAAAGCUGGGGGAGCAAACCGGAUUAGAUACCCGAGUAGUCC
rnacentral:rRNA from 1 species